UGGGGAAUUUUGCACAAUGGGGGAAACCCUGAUGAAGCGACGCCGCGUGAUUUAGAAGGCCUUCGGGUUGUAAAAAUCUUUUUUACGGGAUGAAAAUGACAGUACCGUAAGAAUAAGGUCCGGCUAAAUACGUGCCAGCAGCCGCGGUAAUACGUAUGGACCGAGCGUUGUCCGGAAUCAUUGGGCGUAAAGGGUACGUAGGCGGCCUAGUAAGUUAGAAGUGAAAUAAUAUAGCUCAACUAUAUAAAGCUUUUAAAACUGCUAGGCUUGAGAGAUGGAAGGGAAAGUGGAAUUCCUAGUGUAGCGGUGAAAUGCGCAGAUAUUAGGAAGAAUACCGGUGGCGAAGGCGACUUUCUGGUCAUCAUCUGACGCUGAGGUACGAAAGCGUGGGUAGCAAACAGG
rnacentral:rRNA from 1 species